rnacentral:lncRNA from 1 species
ACACCUUAAGGAGGCUCGCGGGUAUAAGAUUUUCAGAAAAGAAUUAAACAUUAAUUUUUCAUAACAAAUUUUAUUAAUUACCUUAAGUAGUUGUUACUUUAUCAUAUGGUACAAAAAUCAUUCCAAAAAAUCAAUUCAUGUUGGCCCCAGCGGACUUUUAAAAUGUAGAUAUCAUUGAAAAAGCUCCAAAUUAUCUCCCUUUGAUG